rnacentral:lncRNA from 1 species
UACUACCACAAGAAAGACAAAUCAAUCAAAAGACAAAAAAUACAUUCCCACGACACUAUCUCACCAAAACUAGCAGCACAUUACUAAGUGGCGCUUAAUGGAUUAUUGUAUCGUUGGGCACUAGAUAAGGUCUCACAUCUCUCCUAGGACAAUCCAAAAUGUAGAAUGAGCAAGAAUAUUUUUAACUAUCAAGUAGUUUGACCGACACUAAUACCAGAGGUAGAAGGUAUAAGAAUCAAAACCUGCAUUAAAUUGAACCGUUUGCUCAAAGAAAAAGAUUUGCCAAAGAGACCUUGUUUCAACUAUGAAUGGUACUUUAGAAUAAAAUUAUACAACUUUUAAUUUGCUAUCAAUGAUAAUCCCACCAUUUAUUCAACUACUAAAGCUAUCAAAAGUUCUUACCAACUACAACAGAACUCAUUCCCAUAAGACCAAGAGGACAAAUUACUAUCAUGUUGUACCCACAUAGUAAGUCGACUGAUCUGUUGAUGACACGACAUCUAGAUAUAAAGAACCAACAUACCAAUUGUCAAUUUGUAGUCUUGGAGCUGUUGUGGCAGUCAUGAAAUAGCAGCCAUUUGGAGACCACUCACUGGUCACAGAGCAGUCAGCUUUUGUUGUUCCCAGCUGCUUCUUCUCCCUGUAAUCCCAAAAUGCCUAGAAAUUAAAAAAAGUAACUAAUUAUGAUGAGGAAGCCUGCUUAAUUGGACGCAGACCAAAGUUGUAGGAGCUACGUUAAAGUGAAAAUAAAUGGAGAAAAUAAAAUCAGAAAGGUACUAUCACUGCUUUUUUAUAUGGGAUACAAAGUCAUUAACAAUGAAGAAACUUCAAUAAAUAAUAAGUGUGCUGACGUUGGUUAUUUCCAGUACCAUUCAUAACAUAACCAUCAAAUUAAAAUAGUAAAAGGCCUCAUCUAUCUCUCUUCAGAUGGCAUCAACUGAUGACGAGAGUGAUUAAAUGAAAGCUUCUCUUGCUCUAACAGAAGAGAUGCUUCCUGCAGCCCAAAUUUCUUGCUACACUAUCUGCGUUGAAGCCCUCUAAGCUUUAACAAUAAUAACGCAGAUUCUAUCACAUUAUUGGCUCAGUUAUGUCAAAAAUAUUAAACUUUGCCCCUCCUUCAAGUUUUUGGCCAUCAUAUUUCUUCCAAAUGCUCUCAAUCUACUAAGUUGACUUCAUUAGGGGCCUGAGCGCAGGGCAAGACUAGCUUCUACUCAUCAGUAAAUCAGCAGAACUUUAAAGCUUUACUUUCCUUUAUCAUGAGACAUUUAUUAUGGUGUUCCAACUUCAGGGUCUACAAAUACUAACCAACCAAGAGUCCAAUCCCAAUAACCUCACACACUAUUAGAAGUACUAAUGUAGGAAAACUGUUUUCCAAAUGCAAACGAUGCUCUUACAGAAAAGCAACAGAUUUCCUAACCUUCCCUAAACGAGCAUAUCAACAUAUUUUUUCUUUUUAAAAAGAAAACAAAAGACCAUACUUGGAUCCUUCCAACAAUAUAAAGCCGCAGUGCCUACAUGAAUUUGCAAGAAUAGUUGUAAACAAUUGAAGACCCACAUGAGUAACAGCAAAAGGGCAGAACAAUAAAUAAGGAAAACCUGUCUAUUGGUUUCCUCAAUAAAAGAACAACCAAUAGGGAUAGAACCUAAAAUUAAGGUGUUGAGGAAGAAACCUUCAUCCCCAGUACUAAUAAAAGAGAAUAUACGAAAUUGUCACUUCAGCUGAAAAAUAAUUCUGAAACAAAAAAAUUCGAAAAGGAAAGUAAUAGUGAAAAAGGAACUAGCCUACCAUGUCACCAGGUAAUUUACCAAAACCUGCCAAGCAUAUAACUGUAAACCAGUGAAUUAAGGUCACGACAUUAAGGGUAGCAAUGCGGCUGACUCUCAUCCAAACAAACCAUCCCCCCUCUCCCUCCCCCCCCCCCCCAAAAAAAAAAAAAACCAAAAAAUAUAUAAUAUAAAAUAAACAACCCAAAAAAAAAAACCACUAAUAAUAAUGGAAAAGGAUAAAGAAAGUAAUAAAAGAAAAUAAUUGACCAAAAUGGAAAACUAGAUUCAGUAUCAACUCAUAGCAAAUAAUGUUUCACAAGGAUACACUUCCCCUUUGGAUUCCAUCUGAUGGUAUUAUAAGGGCCCGUUCCAAGCUCAAGAAGUGGAUUGCGCUUCUUGUCAAAAACGGUUGCCUUUGCAGGCAUGACUAGAUCAGAUCAAGGAAAAGUCAAAAUGAAAGCUAACAGUUGCAAGGACAAAGUUCCAAUAAUGCAUGAGAACUAAGUGAUGCCUACAUGUCUAAUGUAGAUAAUGAAGUCUCACUACAAGAAACUUCUGAACCAUAACACAACGAUAUCAGAGUUAAUCACAAUUUACCUAACUCCAUAUUAGUUGAGCAUCCUAAUCUUCUAUCACAGGCCAAAGAUCCAACUGAGAUCACACAACCUAGUACCUUCUAGAGGUCAAAUUAACUACUAAUGAGUAAGAACAAUCAUUACAAAGUUCCACCAGCUGAAUAACACUAGCAGAGAUCCUUGAGGAUACAAACUUAAUAAGAAGAUGGAUGAUCAUACUCCCACGUGAUAAAUAUGAUGAUACUAGUUGAAAACAGUAAAGGAUACAGCCAUAAACAACAGCAAACUCUGAACCAGAGUAUGACCAUUGAACAUCAUGAAUAGGUCCCUCUUUACCUGAUAAAGCACCAAAACUGUAAAAGAUAAGUCUCGAGAAAAUAAUUACAUAGGCAGUUUUAGUAAGAAAACAAAUAAAGACUUACAAAGAGGCACGGGCCCUUCAUGAGUCCCAUCUGUUGUCAAGUAACUUCGAUUCCCCAUAGUAACUCUGGUUGGUUUUAUCAACAUCAGACUGCACCACAACCAGAAGUCCAGUGGACCCAUAAUUCCAGUGCAGCUGCACUGAUGAGCAGCGGAAGAAACUUCUCCGCGCAACAGGUUGACUCUGCGGAUCCUCCCUACACGCAAAUAUUUGGAUGCUGGCAGGGACACCCUAUAUACCACAAACAUCUUAUCAAGGUCAAGUUACUUGAUAUACAUAAAGGACCAUUCGUAUAUAAUAACAACGGACAAAACUUUUAAAAAAAACCUACUUUUAAGCACCAAACUCAUUUCUCUCCAGACAAGAAGGAAACGCCAUUCAAAAUUAUAAAACCUGCAUGCUUUAAAGCAGUAAUGGCUGACCGUAAAAUACACUAAAUGUUAGGUCGCUGCAAAUAAAGACUAUUUUUCUCUACAGUACACAGUGCGAAACAUGGAUCUUCCUCAUUCAUCAUGCUCUUUGCAAUCAUGUAAUACAAGUGAUCUCUGUAUUCAUUAAACACCAAAAGGAGCAGUCAAAAGCACCCGUGUCAUCCUUUAAGAACCGGAAUCUCUACUAGUUAUUCGAAUCAGCAUCAGAUACCAAACCAACCAAUCUAAGAGUUUGUUAUUAAUAGGUUCCAGGUCAUAAAGUCAGCUUGAAACUAAUGUCUAAUAAAAAAGGAACGCAACUAGACAUUAUAGCUACUUAUACUGUUCAUCACAUUGUUGUCUGCUCUUGCCUGGUCAUAGAACUUUUCAUGAGUUGCAUUAGUCAAGUUUAUGAACCAGUCCCUUACUAAUUCAAGAUAGCCAUGAAACACAAACCUUAGAUUCUGGAACAAAUGCUGCAAUGUGGGACCCCGGAGUUUUAGAGAGCUCAACUGCAGCAAUUCCAGGAACUCUCAGCCUAUAUUUGAAACCUUUUGAAAAGUCACAACCAUCAAAAAAUUGUAUCUCAUUUGUCGCAAGUCGACACGCAACUGCUUCAUCAGAACUAAAUCGGAUGGAGGGCCUGGAGAGCAACACACAAACCAUUAAGUAGUGAAAAUAUGGAGAGGCAAUGCACAUAAAUGAGGAAAAUUAAUGGUGCAAUGUUAUAUAAUGCGUACGCACUAUCAUGAGUAAUCUAUCAUUGAACAACUGAUGAUCCUGACUAAUAUCAUGUACCAUGUCGUUUUAGUUAUGUUCUUCUGGAGUAGCUGAUAAACAGACUCCCCAGACUCAACUUUCCACAAGAUCACAUUCUUCUCCUGUGGCAGUGAGGAUUUCUGGAAAGUCUGGAGAUAGGUCCCGCACGGGGACAAUGCUGCCAUGGCCAAAUUGGGGAUCUCGAAAUUCCUGAUUUCCUUGAAGUUGCUGCAGUCAUACACGCCAAUCACGGAGUCGGACCUUAUCACCAUCAGCCUGGACCCGCCUGUGCUGAACAUGGUGCUUGUGCAGGGAGUCCUCUUGAGCUUGACACUGGGUUGACCGUUAGUGAAUGGGGGUCCAUUCCACUGAGAGAACCCCUCCAGUUCACGAACUAGAAAGCAAGUUGUACCAACACAAGUCAAGUUCGAAUCAUCAAGUCAAAGGACGAGCAUCAAGAUAGAGACUUUUUAGUACCUAAAAUAUGCAGAGACGGUGAAGAAGCUGUAGUUGCCAUUGGGAAGAUUGCAACAGCCAACGAUAAUAUAUCAAGGCAAAGAUGCCCAGUUGAUGAUUGGAAAGAAAACCCUGCAAAGACACAGGAUUUGGUUUUAAGAAGUAAAGAUUGAUGCAUCUUCACUUACAGACUUACAAGGCCAAGAACCGAACCAAAACCAAAACCAAAACCAUGAACCAGACCUUGCCCUCGCUCGCUACACUAACACUCGAUCAAUCAGCACAAGGAUUAAGCAAUCCAUAAACUGGCCGGACGAUGAAAACAGCAGGGCACGCGAUGAAAAUUCUUAUCGGAGAAGCGAUUACGGAAGAAAAAACUUGAGGGCCUUUCCGAAUUGACUCCAUCAAUGCGUUAGAUGAAGGACGAUGCGGAACCUCCACGACCAGCUCACAAGCUGAGGUUACUGCCUGAUCAAUAACAGAGGCCGAAAAUUUACGCAAGAGAGAGAGAGAACCUGAAGUGUCGGGCUUUGAAUGUAGACCGAAGCUCGGAGUGUCGAGGAAGAGCCGCCGAACGACGACGGAGGAGGGAACGCUGCGCAGCGCUCAACGUUGGAUCGAAGCGCGGCCGAGAACGACGGGGAAGAAGGACAUUUUUCUUUUGGGAGCUGUCUGGAUUUGGACAAAGCCCAAGAGGAUAAGCCCAUGGUGUGUCGUGUCGGAGUUGGACUUGACACAUGGGCCUCCACAUGAAUUUCCCCUUGUUCUCUAUUUCUUUUCUUUGUUUUCUCUCUGGUUGCCGUUAAACUAAUUUUCGUCUGACCGAAAAUGCUAAACUUGUACUCUCAAUCUGAAUCUACCUUAUGUUAAAAUGCAUGCAUGUCAACACUUGUGGAAUGUUCCAUAUCAGAUAUGAUAGUCUCCACGUAAGAUCCGCCUUGCAAUCAUGUAUGCCCUAUGGUGAAACAUAUGGAUGUUAACAGGAUGUCAACUGGCCCUUUCAUUCAAUUAGAGUCGAUUCAGUUUCACUUCUAUGUUUCUGAUGCAUGUAAUGGUAGGACAAUGCAAGAUAGCUGCUAAAGGUUUCACGUUUGGUCCUACUUCCGCGUUGUUUUAUCAACCAUUUUUAACUGGGUCUGCCACUGAAAGUUUCGUUUCAUUCGUUUUCGUUUAUGCUGCUGUAAGAAUUCGAAGGACUUGAGCUAGAACGACCAUGGGGAAGAGGUCCAGAAGUCGGAAGAAGGAGAAGUGGGGCCCCAAGAGGAGGGCUAUCGAUGAAGACGCGGCCUCGGAAGACAUGGAUGACGAAAGAGAUGCCUGUGAGUUAUCUUCCUCGACUGAGUAUCUGCUAAUUGGUGCUGCGCGCCUUCUAUUUGUGCAAAUGCCAGUGUGAAGUUUGCUGCUUUAUAAAUGGGUUGCUCUAAUUGAUCUUUUUAUUUGUAGGUCACAAACAAUGGAUGUUGUGCCGCUGACCAUUCAUAGUGAUGGUGGGGAGUCAGAUGAUGACGGUGGAGAGCCUUUCUUUGAUUUUAAGGUACACAUGGUUCCCUUCGGUGCAGAUUUGGGAUAGUCCAUCUAGUGAACUUGGUUUGGGACAAAGUUGAAUUUUGUUUAGCGCAUGGCAGGGGAGGUUUUCAAGGAAUUUAGUGAUAAUUAAAUAAAUGUUUGCAUGAGAUUUGCGUUUGAAUAUUUGUGUGGAUCAAACUGGUGUUGUGACAUUUAUCCUUUUGUGAUGAUGUGACCUUUCAUAAUGCAUUUCUUUUGUGGUUUUUCUUUAUAGUUAUCACAUUAGCUGGUGAACUGUUGUGAAAUUAACAUGCAUGAGACUUCCUCCCUUCUGAUGUUCUCAUUAAAUGAUCAGUACUUUCAAAAUUUUGGAAUUCUACUGGGCAUUUGUAUAUAGGUGCUUCUAAAUUAUUAGUUGAUCCCCCAUAUCUGUUUGUUGGAAAGUGAAAUUAAUGGAAUAUGGUUUCUUGGAAUUUCCUUUAGGACGAAGACGAUGAAGAGGAGGAUGAAGAUGAUGACACUCAAUUGACCGGGCUUGCUGUGAAAAGUAAAAUUGUCUCAAGUGUGCUUUUCUUGAUUUGCUACUACUCCCCGCUGAAGUUGUCCUUUUCUACAAUUCAAUUCAUCAGACAGUUCCUAACUCUCUGAAGUAAGUUGUCAUGGCUGUUCCACAUUUAAUAUCUGACGCUUAGUUGGCAUAAGCUCUACGGCCAGUAAUUCUGGUUAAGAAACUGGAAGUCUUGUUGGCCAUGAAUCCCUUGAGAGUAAUGCAUUAACUGCUAAUAUAUGAAGAACUUUGAAACUGCAGUCUAAGUGCAUGUUCACUUUUGUUGAGUCUGGUUUUUAUGGGAAAUAGGUGCUAGUCAUUGAUGAGAUUGACCUAAAAAUAGUCGUUUAAUUUUUAACCAGUCUCCAAGGGUUGGUUUGCUCUGCUUUACAUUCUUGUCUGUUCAUUUGCAAGGGUAAAACUUUUAAGGGAGAGUUUGCGAUGUUAUAACAUUAAAUAAAAGUGAUGGAAUUUGAUCUUUCUUGAAUAUGAUUGAUUGGAAUGAUUUUGAGGGAGCUCUGCUAACUUUUCAUAGUUUCCUUGUGAAUUUGUGUGGAGAUGAAAAACAUUCUGAUUUCACCAAGCCAGCAGUAAUAGAAUGUAUAGGUGAAGCAGCCAAUUUAUUCUCUUCUAUUAUCAAUUUCACAUGCUGCCAUGUUGGGUGCUCUACAUGUAUACUCUUUUAGGAUAAUUAGAUAGAUGGGAACGGUUACAGUUAUCUGUAAGGGAAGUCAUUUUGGUUCAUAAAUCGUAGCUCCACAUGUAUUAUGUCUUUUAUGAGUGACCUAUACUAAUAGUGGGCAACCAUUCAGCAUAUUGUGUGAUAGGAGCAAGGUAAUUAACCUAUGAUCAUCCUUACCACACCCAAGAAGUCUUGCCUUCAAUUCUUUACUUCAUCAUCCUCUUCCUUGCCUGUGAAUAGAGAGACAGUAAAAUAUCCUGUACGCCAUUGCCUUGGUUCAAUUUUUUCCCCUAAAGAUGAUUCACCGCUUCUUAAAAGCAUAAUGACUUCAUGUAGGGAAAAAUGCCUUUUUUUUUUGUUUGGUGGUGUUGACUUGCCACUUUUGAAGUUCAACUUACAUAUUGUUGUUUGUGUUGUUUGUAGUUGCAAGACAGCAAAAGUUUUUGCGGGCAAAAAUUGGUGGGGUGGAAGAUGAGAUGCACAAUGAGGAGGAAGAAGAUGAAGACAAGAACGCUGUUUGGGGCAGAAGUAAGAGACAAUACUGAGAUGCCGAUGAGGUAAGUUGAGUUGGAUAUCUGAAUUCAUCCCUCAUUACGCUUCAUUAAGUUGAUAGGGGGUUUCUCUGUUAAACUACAAUGGUCGCUCUUUCUGUUGUAUCAAGUUUUCCUCUUAAUAACCUGAACCCCUUUUUAUUUGCUUUUGAGUGGGCUUCAAUUCUGCAAUUCUUUAUUCGAACUACAGGCAACCUCUAGUGAUGAGGAAAUUCCAGUAGAGGAAGAGGCAGAGGUGUUAAAGAUUGCAGAAGGAGAAAGCAAAAUCAUUAGCAAUGGAGGACUUUGGGCUUGAAGAUAUUAGUCCAGAUGAGGCCACCAUGAAACCAACUAUAGGGGUAGUUUUUUCUGAUAACCUUUUUUACUCUCUGGCUUUAAAAUUGUUCUGAAAUGUUUUACCUCUGAAAGUAUGCGGAGUUUUGAAGUAAUUGUGCUAUUUCAAUUGCAGCUUAUUUGUGAUUCUGCUGUAAAUUAUGGCUGGAGGAAAAGGUAAAUCUGAAUCUGCCAUAUGUGAAGGCACCGGAGAUGAUACUGUAAUGGCUUUUGAGGAGGUCAGAAAAGAUUUGAAUGCACUGUCAAAGGAGGAGCAAGUGGAUGUUUUAUAUAGCUAUUUCCUCUCUUAAAAUGAACUAAAAGCUGCUUUGGUUGAUGUGUUGCUGUUGGUUAUGGAAUCACAGAAAGUAGCAAGAGCUUAAUCUUUUUCUGGGAAGAUCAGUAUGGGAAAUUUAGAUAGACUGGCACAAUGUAUUGACCGUGAAUGUACAAUUGAUAUUGACUACGACCUGUUUUUAUAUGGCUUUUGUUUUUUGGGCUCUUUUUGUGCAUGGUUUCACCCCCUGGUGGCCUAUGGUUGGACUUUUUAUCCAUAAAAAAUAAAAAAGAUAUCCAAAGAUGGAUCUUCCGAAGCUUGUUUUUAAUUGAUCAUGGUGCAUUAAGAUGCUGCACUAUAUUUACUCAUCAUUCUUCAUGGUGCUUCUUGAAAUUAGACUGUGGAAGCUUAUGCAAUUUGUAUAAUCCUUUUUGCAUAGAACUGGAUAAUUUGUUGCCCGUGAUUUCACCAUGCAUCUUAGCUAUUCCUAUCCGUCAGGUGGUGAUUGUCAGUCCUUUUGGAUUAAUGAGAACUAGCCACUGAAAUUUCAGGCAGGAUAAACCAAUCAAGCCAAAUGUUUAGAAUUAGAACUCGGCAACAUUUUUUUUUUCCUUGUUUAGAAAACCUACUAGACAGCUUGAAGAUUUUUUGGCUAUGGCUGUGAAGAAAAAAAAUAAAGCCAAUUUGACGAAUUGAUUCUUUAAAUUUUACUUAUGAAAGCAAACAUUUAAGUGAAUGAAAAGGGAAAGACAAUUGGCAGAUUUUUCCUCGUAUAUCUCACAAUGUUUUCCUCCUGCGAUGUGGUCUUUCAGAGAAGACAUUCCAUUUUUUGAUUUCAUAGGAUUUUUAUAAGCCACCUCCUUGAAGACAUGUCAGGGGUAAAGGCUAAUGGAGAUGACCAUACAUGAUAAGAGGAAAUGGGUGGGAUUGUUGAGACUUGGUAGAUUUUGCAAUAAUUGCGACAAUGUUGAAUGAGAAAAAUUCUUGUCUACGAGAGAGAAGCAAAUAAAGAAUUGGUUGGAGUUAUGGAUUACAUAGGAAUUAAGAAUAUAUAUGUAAUAUAAUCAUCCCCGAAGAAAUUAUUCCUGGUCAUUACUUGAUCUCAUAAUAUAUGGUAUUUUCCUGUCAGAAGUUAUCUGCAUCCAAUCCUACUCCUUCGGUUAACAAAUGAAACAUAAAGGAUAUGUAUGAAAUAAGUUCCUGCAUUGAAUGAAUUUCUUACUUACCAGAAAAAGGGAAAAUGUAUGUGGUUUAUGUAUUUUAAGUUCCUGCCUCUUUAUUUUAUAGAAUGUUUUUCUUGCAGUUCUGCUCCAGAAUUGGUGGGACUGCUAUCCGAGCCGAAUGAUGCAGUUGAAGAGCUUGAAAGCAGAAUCAAUCUGCUUCUAAGCAAGGUAUCUAUUCCUCUGUCAAAGAGACGUGUGCUAAUAGAUGACUUGUUUUUUUAAUCUCUCUAGUAUGGAAUGAUUUCAUUCAAGAUUUCUUCAAGUUUUCUUGGCAUAAAUUUAUUUCUCUACACCAAUCACUUUGAAGGUCUCUAGGAAGGAUCUCACUAAAGGGGAUGAAUUGUAGCUAUCCAAUAUUUUCUGUUGUGCUUUUGGUGGAGUGCUUUGGUGUCUUGCUUUGAAGUUUUCUUGGCUUGGGUCUUUAAUAUUUUUUAUUGUUUGAGCUGUAAUCCUAUAAUGUUUUAAGUCCAUUUGGCCCGUAUGCAGCGUUGUUUUGUUAUUUCUUGCUGUCUACAGUUUGUGUUGAAUGUGGAAUUUGCAGCUCAUAUUUUCUUGUUGUUUGGCAUGUGUCUUCUAUUUUAUGAAGGCUAAAAAGAGGGAAAGUACAAUGAAAGGAGGAUCACGCUAUAUGGGAGUACAGCAGAUUCUGCUGCUGGCCUACUGCCAAGCAAUUACCUUUUAUCUCCUCCUUGAGUCUGAGGGAUAACCAGUUCAUGACCAUCCUGUUAUAGCUUGCCUGGUGGAGAUCAAAAGCUUAUUGGAGAAGGUAUUUAAAGAAGCUAUAUGUUCUUAAUUUUUAUUAGUGAUCUCAUCUAUAAAUCUGCACAUGCAUGCUGUGCGGCAUGCCAAUGAAUAUCGUUGUUAAUUUUCACCCCACUUGUUAAUUCCUGUUAGAAAUCACUCUUGGGCAUGAUAGGCAAAGUCACAAUACACUGAAUGGUGUCAUUGCUCCUGUCAUCAUUGUGAUUAUGGGUAAUUUGCUGCUCAAGGAGUGUGUGGACGACUUAGCCAGCUUCGUUUUUUUCUUUUCUUAUGUUUAGUGAUUUGCUAAAUGUUGUUGUAGUUGUCUCUAUUAGUAUGUAUGGCUGUUUAGAGUCUAUGCUGCUAGUUGAACAUCUUUACUAAAAUCUCCGUUGAUUUUUACAUUUCCACUUACUGAGGACUAACGAACCAUUUGGUCGAGCUGUGUAAGCCAUGUAUUUGUGGUGUCUUCCUUUUCAUUAUGCUGGACUCGACUUUAACCAGCACUGGAUCCUUAUAAAUUGACGAUCUUCCUUCUGUAAUCCCUGUUCUUUAGUGCAAUGUAGUAUUCUGAGGGUAGAAGGGAAUGACUGGAAGGUUGACAGCAACGUGCACAUGUAUAUUUGUUCUUCAACAUCUUUGGCAGUUAGCUUUCGGUUUCCUCGAUGUUGACUGACUAUGCAAGUGCCUGAAGAUUGCUUCUGUUUUUUUCUUUUUUCUUUUUCUCCCUACAGUGAGUCAUGCAUAUGACUGUACCACUGACUUACUCAAUGUUUGUGAACAUAUCACUGUACUGCAUUGCAUGGGGUUUUGUCUACUGUCUUGUUACUUUUCAGUCUUUAUUUUAGAGCUGUCACAUGACAAUUCCAUUCUACCACCUAUUGAUGUUCAAGUUCAAGAGGCAAAAAAUGUAUGUUUCAUCUUAAUCAAAAUUGCAUAUUUGCCUCCUUGUGUCUUUGGUAUGAACAUGAAUGUUGGUUUUGCAGCCUCAUGAAUCUAUUCAGGAUGAUGAGAAUAAUGGAAAGAAACAUAAACCUCAGGUUAGUCUGGCUCAAUUGAAAGCCCAGAAAUGUCAGUUCCUCUCUCUCCUAGCUGAAUAAAAUAACUUAAUUAUUCUUCAAUUUGAUUAUUGCAAAAUCUGGCAGAAGCAAUAAUUUGGGGUGCAAAGCUUGAAGAUUUUAAAGGUGAGGGCUGCCCUUGAGGAAAAAUUGAGGCACAAGACUGUUUUCGGUUCAAUUGCUUCAAAAGGGGAGAAAAACCAAAAAUGUUCAGAACCAGAGAACGGGUACUGCUCUAAUUGCUGACAACUGCUCUUUGCAUUAAUUUAAGGCAUUUACUUAAGUUCCUUCUUCAACAGGCAGCUAGAGACCUAUGCAGAUUUCGAUGAUCAUGCUACUGAAGAUGUAGCAUCUUGUGAUGGGUUGAUGAAUGGGCAUGCGGGAUAGUUGGAAUCAACUGAGCUCUCCAAUCUUCCAUGGGUUGAAAACAAGAGACAGAAGGUUUGGAUAUCGGCAUGAUUAUUCAAUUUUUUCCUUCAAGUGCAAGAGGUUAUGUGAUUGAUCAAAAUGUGUUUGCUACAACUAGACAGCUUCCUACCAAGGGGAAUAUAUGGGUUAAAGAUUCAAAAUGGAAGUAAAUAUCCACUUGGUACAGUCUUGAACAGUGUUCCUAUUAGAUGUUUCUGAAUUAGUUGCUCUAAAAUGGACGAGACUGUUAGGAUAAUCUAGUAUGAAUGGAACUAAUCAUGUCAGUAAUAUACCUAAAACAUUGCAAAAAGGAAAAAAAAUCAUCAUGGGCUACAAUUAGGAUAAAUGGCUAACACAUGUUGACACUUUGUUUUUACUUAUUUUCAUGUCAUAGGAUAAUCUUGUAUGGCUCAUGUCAAGUGAAAUACCUAAAAAUUGGGAAAAAAAAAAUAUUCUACUUACUUGUCCCUUAAAGUUUUUUACUUGAGGAACUGUUUUUUAUUCUCGCGAUUUUAUUUGGAUUUUGAUGAUAUCUCAAAGCUUCCUCUGUCCUAACUCUUUUUUGAUAGUUGGAGAUGAUUGAUUGAUAUACGUUCCGUUUAGAUGAUUGUUAAAUCAUUGCAACAAUAUGAGGGUUAUAAGUCGAGUACAAUCUUUUUAUGGAUCGUCGUUGCACUCGAUUUUUACUAUAUUUUUAAACGGCUCAUGUGAUAGUAUCAUAAUAAUUCUGGAUGGAUUCAAAGGAAGCUCUAAGUGACAGUACCAUGUUAAUCCAGGGAAUGAAUAUUAUGAAUGAGAAACUUUCCGUCUCCUGGAAGGUCAUAUCGGGUGAUGAUGAUUUGCCAAGGAGGGAUGAUAUUGGAGAAAGGUGGAGAAAACAUGAGCUUCAAGUAUUGGCUGGAGCUGGAGUUAAGUCAGAGGAUGAUCUCGGUGACAAAGAUGGGAAUCUUGAGACUAAUGGAGGUGCUGACUCUGAGGACAGUGAAUAUGAAGAAUCAGCAGAUGAGUUUUAUAAGCCAGUGAUGCAGGAACGAGCUGCAAAACUUGCCACCAAAGCAGAGAUGUAUUCAAGGUUUGUUUUCUGUUGCUCGUCCUAUAUUCUUUUGCUUGUCCUAUGUGUUCAUCUUAAUCUUAAUGUGGUCCCAGAAGAGUGAUAUUAGGCACCCAUUUUCAUCAAUCAAUUGCCACUUAUGCUUUGAAAAGUACGUUGAUAGUUUUUUUUUGCUGGUAUAGAACAUGGAGAUCCUUGAAAUUUCUCCAGUCAUAUAUGAGCUCCAUGAAUAUACCUAUUCAAUAUUUGUUUUCUUCUACAUUUCUAUUUCUUGAAAAAUUUUCUUAGACAUUUGAUAUUGAGGGUUGAGAACUUUACUUGCAAGUAAAAGUCUUAACUUUGAAGAAUCUUUUGGAAUGAAGACAAAUUUUUAUUACCAAAUAUAAAGCGCAAAAUAACAUGGUGCAGGUGUAUGAUGUGUCUUCAUAUAAACAAAUCAUUUCUUUCUUUCUAAAGGAUAUUGAACCUUAUCGAGCAGCUGGAUUAAGCUAAAGCUUAAACUUACAUUUCUAUGAGUUUUAUUUGCUAUCAUGAAAUAAGGAAGUAGUUAUAUCAAUCUUUUUGCUACUUUAUCCUUUGGACUAAGCAGGAAAAGGAAAGAGAAACUUUCAAGGAGGGUGUAUAGCAUUCUGGAUCUAAUUAAAAAGUAGAAACCAAAUGAAGAUUAAGGAAAAGACGUGGGAUAGCUACCAAAGCAUCAAAAUCGUCCACCUGUGGCUUGCAAAAUGCAUGAGUUUUCUUUUUGUUUUGGGGACGCAUAUGAAAACUCAACGGAAAUAUUCAGUGCCAUGUCAUGUUAAAAUUGCUCUCGGAAUGUGAUCAAUUUGUGGUUAACUUUGAUGUACCCACAGGAAUCUGGCAAUUCCAUCCUUGCCUGAAACAGCCGACAGAAAGCGCCAUAUCACUUAUCAGGUGAGCCUGCAUGCAAUGGUUCUGGUCAGUUCUGUUAGUGGUCUUAGCUGCUAGUUGCCAUUGUCAGGGAUUUAACUUUUUGCUGUGAAAACUGUUUUAAAUGGAGAAAAAUAGAGGAUUGAUGCGUAACCGGAAGAAAAAUGAAAAAUCCAAGGAAGAAUUACCGGGUGAGUCAAGAGAAUCAGAUUGUUGAUGUAUAUUCUCACAUCGACUUUCGAUAUUGACCAGGACUUAUGUUUGUUUCGUGUGCAGAGUAAGCAUGAGAAGGCAGUGGUCCAACGAAAAGGGCAAGUUCAGGAUAUCAGGAAGCCUUCCGGACCUUGCAGUGGGAAAGCAUCUGGUAUUAAUGCAGGAAUCAGUCGAGGCAUUAGGUUCAGGAGCUAAAUGCUACUUUGGGUGGAAAUCUGUCGUGCGGACCUUGGAUCAACCUGCCGGUGACUUGGGUGGCAUGAGUAUAUAUGUAGUCAAGUUUCUUGCACAAGAAUCAGAUGGUGCCUAACGGGGAUGUAAGGGGACGACUUAGGAGCUCCGGCAGAUACGCGUUGCCCAUCAUUUGCAGGCCAUUUUUGUUAAGCAUCAGAAGACUGGAGUUUUGCUUGAGUUGAGGCUGCUUGUCAUGUCGAAGGCAUGUACGAUUAGCUUGGAACUUUGUCAGAAUUUGGUUUUUCAAAGAUUGUCACUUCUUCCAUUAUCGUUACUUUCUAUUUUGAAAGAAGCCGAUUUGUAUGUUCAGUUCUUACUCCCCUCCCGAAGGGAUUUUUCUCUUCAGGAAUAUUGUCGAAUGAAUUUGAGCUGUCUGAACCGCGAAACCAGCCGGUGCCAUCUGAGGACCAAUCAGGGCACUGUUCAUUCGAAUCUCUCGUUUCAAGAUGAGGAGGCUCUUACCCUUUUAAUUUCUUGCCCAAGACAAAAACAGAAUAAUUGGGGCUACUCGACGAUUGUGUUUCGAUGCAGAUGACUUCUGAGUUUUUUGGGAGAAACCUCAAGACACGAACGAAACGCAGAAUUCCUCUUACCUGAUUUUCCCUAAAACGACCUCUCUAAUAUCGAUUGAUCCAUGCCUAUUUCCCAUAAUUGCCAUAACCUCUCUCAUCUCAUAUUACAAACAGAAAUACAGAGAUCCACAGCUGGUCGUAGACAAGAGAGAGAGUCAUCCAGUACAAGAGAUCUCAUAUUACAAACGGAAAUACAGAGAUCCACAGCUGGUCGUAGAAAAGAUCUAUCAGAUUCAUUAUUUAUGUACAAUGAAAUUUCAGAAGAAAACAUAAGUCCUGGAGAAAAGGAAAACAUUUUUUUUUUUUGGUAAGGAAAAAGGAAAACAUUUUUUUUUUUUUUUUGGUAAGGAAAAAGGAAAACAUAAUACAUAACAUCAUUUACAAGAAAGUUCAGAAGAAAACAGGCACCUGAAAUUUGCCUUCAGUAGAGCUGACACGGCCCGGAGCGAGACGCAGAUGCGCCUGAAUUUGUGCCUCACCAUUGAUGGAGAGCCGACACGGCCAGGAGCGAGACUAAGACUGCCGCCAUGGCGACCAUGGAAGUCCAUCGGCAAAUUCUCUCGGCUAAUCCCGCCUUGUUGCAGUGGAUCAACAGCAGCGAGACGAAAGCAGAUGCGAAGGCGAGCAUGAUCGACAGCGCUAGCGAUCUGAAGGUGAACGAGUCUCGCCUGAGGAUCGACGUCGGAAGAAUGGCUAGGGCGUUGCCGGUUACAAAGGUGAACAUCACGAUGAAUCUCGGGAUGGAGGCUUCACGGUGAUGAUCAUCAUUGGGAUCGAUUCGGGAUGAAUUGUGAUGAAGCGGCGUCUUCAGAUCCAUGGAGAAGCAAAACAAGGGGGAAGAAGAGGAAGAUCUGCUUUUUCUUCGAGGGUUUCAGACCUUCUGGCUAUGAGAGAGUGUUUUCUUGUCCAUCCGCGCUAAUAUAAAAUAAACAAUUCCCAGAACUGGAAUUUUAGGACUUUAAGACUCAAGUGGACCCACCAAAGAUGAGCCCUUACGCAUUAUUAUUCGAAAGAAAAAAAGAAAAAAGACCGAACGAGUUCAACUAUUCGAAACUUUCUACACCCCCUCUCCGAAAAAGCAAGAAGAAGAAGCCGGUUCAGAAAUAUCACCGCGAAGAUGGUCCCCACCUCCGAUUCCGAUCCCGAUUCCGAUGCCGAUGCUGAAGGUGAGCAGAUCUAUAAGUUGCGCGUUCGUUUAUUGGUUUCUGUCAUCGUAUCUCCCCCUGAUCCGAUCAAAGAGGCAAAACUCUGUCAAUUUAGUCUUCAUCUGUUUAGAUCUGAGAUUCUAAGGUGAAUCCAUUUAUAGGAAGUCUUGAAGAUAGAAUCCACGGCUCUGCUGGCGAGGUCAAUGGUUUUGCUGGUAAAGAUGGUGAUAUCGAGAUGGGACUGGGCCACACACACUGUCACCGUGUGCCCGAUGUGUUGGAUGAAAUCACAGAGCCUUCUCAGGCUGACCUAUCACCUUCUGAUUCUCCUCCAACUGUCGAGUCCUCUAGGCAAUCGCAGCUACUCAGGGAGCUUCAUGAAAAAGAAAAAGAUAACCCUUCACGUGAGCACUCCUUGGAUUGUGAUCCUGAUGAGCCGAAUCGGGUGCUCAAUAUGCCUUCUACAGACGGUGAUAUCGAGACAGGAGGCACGCCUUCCUCAGUUCAUGUUCAAGGCGGGCCACUGCUUCAGCAAGAUUCCUCAUCCCAAGGUGCUGGUCAUGAAGACAGUAAUAUCCAGACGGGAGGCCUGCAUUCUUCGGGUCGUGUUCACAAUGACCCCAGAUUGGGGGAUUUAUGUUCCUAUCAUAAUGCUCCCGAAGACAACUGGGAGAGAUUAACCACCAUGGUAGAUCCGUUGCUCGGUGUGAUCAUUCAGAGUGCUUGUUCUCUUGUGGCUUACAAAAAAAGCGACGGUUCUUCAAUAGGUAAGGACGUGCUGUUUUACCUGAUUGUGGCUGUUGACGUGCUUAGCUUCUUAGUCGCACUGGCUGGCAAAUGGUUUCGCUGCUACAAAAUGGGAGGAAUUGGUUUGCUGGCCGCGGCGUUGGGCUUUCUAAUGACCAUGGCUUUAGUCGUCAUCUACAAAAUUGGAUGAGCUGGUCGUGCCUCUUCAAGUUUAAAUAACCGAUAUUUUGUAUAAAGUGCUGUGUUUGUGGCCAUGUGCCAGCUGCCUCGUGGAGAUGAUGAGAGCAGCCAUGUUUGCUGCUGCCAUCCUGUUGUAGUGUGAGUUACCUUGUACAUGAGAUCGGUCAUGUUUGCUGCUGCUUGUUGUUCUCAUUUUAGAUAAUAAAUUGAACUUUUGAUCCUUUGGCUUACAACAAUCCAAUCAGUCUUACAACGAUCCAAUCAGUCCAAGAGAGCUUAAGUUGCCGAACAAUUUCGAUCCCAAACGAUUGGCUUGUGAUGCGUCAGUGAAAAGUUAAACUAGUAGAGAUUCAAUCAAUUGAAUGUUAGGUCAUGACAUUGGGAGAAAAGCAAAUCCCAAUGAUUUAAGGAUCACUGAUCCACAGAUCUCCAAUACUAAUGAUUAGGCACAUAGUGAAAAAGAUACAAUAGAAUAGAAACGAACGUGAGUACUCAUACGAUCGGAGUACCUGGUACAGCUUUCUCACAGCUAUUUCAACUGUGAAAAUAGGUAUAGCAGCUUUUUAAGGGUACUUGAUAAACAUCUCAGCAGGUGCAGAUUCGAUUGAAAAAACAAAAAAAAUUAGCUGCAGCACUAGUGAGAAGCUGCUUCUCUUAAUUUUGAGAUGUCAUAGCUUUCAACUGAAAAUCACAAAAAUAUGUACAACACUUCACAGCACAAUUACAGUUCAAUCAAAAUUGCACCAAAUGUAUUUGGUUCUACUUGAGAAAAAGUCACUAAAAACCCUAAACUAUAUCUAAUGCGAUAAUUUACCCCUGCUCUAUGGCCAAAGUGUAUUUUCGUCCUUUAAUUUUUCUUUUUCUUUUCUUUUUCCUUCUUCUCUCUUCCCUCUAGUGGUAGAGGGAAGCCGGCUCAGGCGAGGGCCACCCUCGUCGGCGUCAGGCAAGGGCGGGGCCUCACCAACAUGGGGCGAGGUCACUCCUCAUCUAAGUGGGCAAGGCACCCUUACCCAACGUAGCGAGGCUUCCUCGCCAAAUCCGAUCCAAGCGAGGGAAAAGCAAAAGAAAAAGAAAAUGCCCUAUAAUUUGGAGUAAACGUGUCAAUAAGUUUGAGGUUUUUUGUGUCACCAAAAAAAGUUUAAGAUAAAUGUAUUACGAUUGGCAAAGUUCGAGUUUUUUGCGUCACAAAAAAAAGUUUAGGAUGAAGUUGCCGUAUUGGGUAAAGUUUAGGAUUUUUGGUAGUAUUUUCCCUUCUUAUUUUGCAGCCUCCCAAUUUGGUGUAAUACAUGAUUUUCUUUUUUUCCCUUACAUUUCCCCUUGGAUUAUCUAUUAGAUGUUCAUAAGGACUCAAGUAUAUGGUUUCACUUUCACUUUUCUACAAUGAUUCACAGUACGUGAAAAGAAUUUAUGAAAAUUUUCUCUGAUCAUUUAUCAUGUUAAGCCAUCCAAAAGUUUGUUUUAGUAUAUACAGUUGAUCAGUGAUGCUUGUGCCGUAAAAUCAAUCGUGUGAGGAGUGGAAUUUCAAAGAGAAAUAUUGUUAAUAUGAAGGUUUUGACGUGAUAACACCAAAAAAAAAAAAUCCUAAAUUUAUCGUGCGACCGCCAAUAAUGUUCAAAACUUUUUCUAAUUUCAUCAACUUAAUCGUAAACUUUUUGACAAUUUGCAAAAACUUAAUAUUCAACGGGAUAAUAUUGCGUGCUUAUGCUGCUUCGCAGUAGAAACCUGAGAUACCGUCCCUACUCUAGAAAAUGCCACUUGGUAGAAAUAUAUCAAAGUAGGUAUUUUUUAAGGGAAUUAAGCCUACAUAAAUAUAUAUAACAUAUAUCAUGUGUGUAUAAUUAAUAUAUAUAUAAUUUAACUGGAGCAAUUAUUAGGAAGAUGAAAUAACCUAUAUAUUACAUGUAUUCCUUGUUAUGACUUAAUCGCGUUCAAUAAUUUCUAAAGAAGGUUUUGUCUCCCAUGUAUAUAAUGUUAUUAGUCAAAGUGAGAAAUCAUUUCUUAAAUAUAAAAAGUUACAGUUAAAUAGUGAAAUAAUGACGAGAAUGGGGAAGGGAAGGUGUAAUAAAGAGGAGGUGCCUUGGUGAGAGAGAAACCCUCUAAUACUGCCAACUGAGCAAAUUGGCAAAAGAUAUCACCAUUGCUCUAAGAAUGCUCUAUUGGUAAUUAGCUUUCGUUAUAUGUGGAUUCAUAGACCAAGACACAUGGAAACACAACCCAUUUGCCAAAUAAGUAGAAGCUGAGUGAAUCGAAAAAUAAUUCAUGCUAUUUCGCAGAUAUUUGAACAUCAUCUGAAGAACAGGAGUUCCUAGUUUCGCACGGCGUUAGCCCUCAUCACAAUCUAUUUAAAGAACAGCAAACAGAGAGGAAAGAAGUAUUCUGAUCAUCUCCUCUCAAGUUAGUCCUCCAAUCUUUCACUCAAAACCCCAAUUCCGGCAUCAUUGGAUUACCUCCACUCCAAAGCAAAUGCCAGAAGGCAUUGCACAUCUGUUUUUCCCUGUGGCCUCUUUGUUGUACGCGGGAAAUCAAACCUGUAACCAAGAUUCUAGAUAUGAAACUCACAUUAACUAUCAUAUUAUGAAUCACUCAAGGCAGAACCAGCCUCCGCAGCCUUUUUUCCCUUUGUUUCUCCCUUUUCUUCUUGUUUCUCAAUGCAUUCUUGCUCGAUGUUCUGUUAUCAAAAACCAACCAGCAUUGUGAAUAGGGGCAGCAUUACUUACCUGAAGGACGAUGCAACAAUGAACGGAACAUGUAACAAAAAACUUACUCUUAAGAGCUUUCUCCAAACAGCUGCACAACACAAGCAAAGGAAAUCAGAAUUUCAUAGACAUGAGUUAAAAUCAAACUAAAGAAAAAAAAAAAAUAUAUAUAUAUAUAUAUAGGAAGAAGUAGAACUUCCAAGUUCCGCACUUGACUUCAAUUGGGGAAUAGUAGGAGAAGAAGAACAUUGCACUUUAGUUUUAAUUCCUUCAUAAUGUCACUCAGCUGACUGUAACCACAUGACAAACAUUUCAUCCUAUAUCAAAUUAACAUUCUGACAUGGAGACAACUAUGAUGGCUUCAACUGUAGCUAAAAUGGAGGUAGUAAGGCUAGGCAAUUUUCACGAGCCAAAAAUAUCUAGCAGCACAUUCAUACUGAACAUAAGAAAGGAUAUAAAAAUCAUACAGAUGAUAGUAAUAGCAAAGCUUUGCAAUAGCCAAAACAUGUGCAUUUUCAAUUCUGCCAAGAUCAUUGCAAGUAUCUGCCAAAAUAGUUGCCCUUCCCACUCUCGUAUGCCUUUUGAUCUUACCUGAGUUAAAAUGUAACAAAUCCUGCAUGAGUUCCACAAGGAUUCAUUCUGCUUUUUCCUGAUAGAAAUGGAGAUGAUCUCUUAUAGUGUUGCAACAUCUCAUUGUAAAUUAUUCAAAUGAGGGAGAAUCGUUAGAAUCAAACAACCAUCUCACGGAACUGCAGCCAGACCAUGAGCCAGCAUAACAUAAGUGAAAGCCGUAUAAAAAUAACAAUUUGUAAGUUUAAACCAAAUUCCACCUGAGUGUUCAAUAUAAACAGCCAACAAGCUCAGGCGUUGGUCUUACUGGACUAAUUGAAAAACCAAUAAACAGGCAAGCAUUCCACAUUGCUAUGGUAUAGACUGGACAUGUUGUAAGUAUUUGAUCAUCACCUCUGCCUGGACAGCAGCUGCAUUCUUAGCAUGUGGUGGAUGAUAGGCAGCAGGUUUCUGCGCAGGCAUGUUGGUAGAAGUUGCCUUUGCAGGAUUUUGAGAUGAUUUCGCUGUUUGUCCUGUUUAAGUGGCAAAAGUUUUCAGCAGGUCCUAAAAUAUACAUAGCUCUAGAAAGAAGUGUCUUCUUUAACACUCUCUGAUUACCAAACAUAAAUCAACACCUUGUGGUUUUCGUUCUUCCAUGUUUAGAGAGUCAACAGACUUUAUCAGUUCAGCAACUUCACCAAAUCUCUCCAGUGAUUCUGGUUUGCAUUCAGCCUGUAUAAGUGGUUAGGCAUUUCUAUUCCACCAAGGAUUGGGCUGAUUUAGUGCAAUUCAUGUGAGAUCGUGCAGAGAAGACUGACCUGGUAUAACUUGUCAAAUGUCUUCUUAAAGAAUAGUGAUCCGUUGUGGUGGAAAAUUUUAAUACUACCACAAGAAAGACACAUCAAUCAAGACACUAAACAUACAUUCCUACACACAAUUCCUCCAAAAUUAGUUGCACGUUACUAAGUGGCGCUUAAAGGAUUGUUGUAUCACUGGCACUAGAUAAGGUCUAAUGUCUCUCCUAGGACAAUCCAAAAUGUAGAAUGAGCAAGAAUAUUUUUAAUUAGCAAGUAGUUCGACCAACACUAAUACCAGAAUCAGAAGGUAUAAGAAUCAAAACCUACAUUGA